CACUUCAUUGGUCCCAUUUUUCCACUUCAAUAUCAGCCAUUUCGCUGCUUUCCUCCUCCUCCGAAAAUGCUCUCUUUUUCUUCUGACUUUUCCCUCUUUCUUCAUUUUGCUGUUUGAUUCUUGGUAAACUCUGAGCUAUGUUUCACUAUUCUUUUCUAAAUGUAUUCUUGGUUCGUCUGAUAUCACAUAUUUUUGAAGUGUUGCAUGUGAGUAAUUUCUUUUACUUUAAUGAAAUUUUAACAUAAGAUUUGAAAUUGGGGAUGUAAAAAAUUUCAAUGUGACCAAGCAACUGAAACGCACAUAGGGAUUGCAAAGAAGCUGCUUUUAAGUAAUCUCUGGGCGGCUCAUAUUGAGAGAUUUUCAUGUGGACUGUAUCUUAAGUUCACUAUGGGUGAUUGGAACGUGUAUUUACUUGAACAUGGUAUUUCUAUAUUCGAAUCUAUGGCGUUUUACAUCAAUAUCUAAAAGCCAUCACCAAGAGCUCUCUCAGUAACUUUUAUCCGUGCAAGGCGAUUGGACUUCAUCCCAACUGAUUGGUAAAAGCAUGGUAGGUAAGUCACCGACUUUCAAAAGCUGAAGGUUAAUAAUUCAGAGAUAAGUGCAUUUCAUGGUGCAGUUUUUGAGUUUCAAAAUCAUCCAUAUCAUUAGAUAAGUCCAUUUCUUAUUGAAGAUUUAUUAGUCUAUCAUACAAUUUAUUGAUAGUCUCAUAAUAAAAGGACAAGUAAAAGUUACUAGACGAUCUUUUUCUCCGUUAUAUUUAUUUUUAAUAUUUUUCUCUAGCGUCCUUUAUUAAGACAAAAAUGUGCCCUUUAAUGAACCUUACACCUAUAAUAUUAGAAUAACAGUUCAACUAGAAGAUAAAUUUUGGUAUUCAUUCAUAGUAGUUAUGGGUCUUUUUGUGUGUUUCAUAUGCAGACUUUAGAAUCUUAUCCCCUUAAAAUGAUUUUUUUCUCCAAGUAUACUUCUUGAAGUAAUUACAUGCGCUCUGCAAUUUGUGGCUUCAUUUCAGUGAUCUUUCAGAAUAGAACAAAGAACUUAUGGAAGAGUAAUUCUUUUGUAGCUUAUGAUGAUUCUAUUUUCUUUCUGUAGCAGGUUUUGGCAUUGCCCCUAUGCAUAUACCCUUUUCUUGAGGGUCUUGCAUAUUGCAGCUUUACGAUUGCUUUGUUGGUCCUUCAAUGAAUAGAGUAUAAAUCUUUCUAAUGUUUGAUACUGAGACAUUUAUGCAUAUUUACUUUAUAUACUCAUCUCACUGGUUUAUAUCUAUAUAUGGAUAGAUCAGUGCGCUUGCAUUAAGUUUCAUGCCUUCUCUUUGCAUGACUUAGCAAAUGUAUCCCAACUUCAUGAUUCGGCAAAUUGUUGACUACUUUUGCAUAUUUGGAGCUGGUAAGUGAAGAAGUAUGGUGUCGAAAGUUUUAGAUUACUUUAAACAUCCACACUUAUAUGAUAAUUGUUUAUAUGUUAGGGUCGACAUCAAGAAUGUGUACUGAACAAUAUAAUACUAACUUGCACAUCGUUGCGGAGAGAAAUUUAUUUUAUCUAAGCUUAGAGUGAUUUUAGUCACUUAUUUUCAUUAACCUUUUUACAUUCUGCAAAAUCUUAAAUACUCAGAUCGCAAUGCUACAACAUUGAGUUAUCAGAACAAUACUGAGCUGCUGAACAAUUAUUCUACACACAAAAAUAUGUAUACUUUGUGGAGCACAAGAUUGGAACAUGAAUAAUCAGAACUGGAAGCUGUUUGUUCGUGAUCAUUUCAGUCAUUUAAUUUAAGGACUUGAGUCUUGUACCUUUGCAUUUUAUAAUAGUAGCUAGGACUAAAAUUAUGCCUUCUUUCUGGUUUUGAACUUAUGGAGCUUAGAAAGAGGUUUGGAUGUUCACUAUUCUAGGAAAGUUCUACUAUUGUGAGACAUGCCGUUACCAAAUUAACUUCAAAAACUGGUCAAAAUGUGUAAAUGGGAAUGGGUAAGUUAAGUUGCUAGGUCGUAAAGCAAAGACCUCAACAAUUUACGACUUGCACAUACUGCUUAUCGCUUUUCAUUCUUUACACUAAAUUAUCAAUUACAACUAUGAGAGUAUGAUUGACAAACUGCCAAUUAGUUGAAACAGCUCUGCUUCAGAAAGUUUAUUAGAUGGAUUUUAACUUCAUUGCUUUUCCAUCAUCUACCAGAAUAGUUUUUUUCCCCUUCUUGCUCAUGUUGGGCACUUGGGUCCGUGCACAGCACGGGCAACACCCUACUAGUAUUCUAUAUAGAUGUUGAGUAUUUGGGAGUUUAAUUGCUAUUUCUUAUAUUUCGCAUAUUGUCAGGCUUACCUAGUCUUAGAGAUUAGGUGCCAACACGACAUCCUACGGAGAGAAAUUAGGGCCGUGACAAGUUGGUAUUAGAGCUCUAGGUUCAUAGGUGUUAUGAGUCACAAGCAAGUUUAGUAGAGUCUCGCGGAUCGGUACAGAGACUUCUGUACUUAUCUUCGGGAGGCUAUGGAACAGUUAGGAGAAGUUUCACUUCUUUGAAUCCCUAUCGUGCGAAUUUGUUUACUUCAGAAUUCUAAAUUGUCUUUUUAUUCUCUCACAGAUGGUGAAGACACGCAUAGCUGGAUCUGAUGAUCUGACACUCACGCCCCUGCCAGAGCAGCGAGAGGUCAGGGCUGGGGCAGAGGCCGAGGAAGGUCACGUAGUGCAGCUAGAGCACCUGCACGAGAUGCUACAGAGGAGCCACCAGUAGAUCUAGUUGGAGAGUAUGCACCUGGGACGCCUGUUCCUACCCCUGCACUUCAAGAGACUCUCGCCCAGUUUUUGAGUAUGUUUGGCACUUUAGCUCAAGCAUGGUUGAUUUCACUUGCUCCUUCCACAUCUCAGGCUGGGGAGGAGCACAGACUCCCGCCGCCCGUACCCCAGAGCAAUAGGUCCAGGUUGACCAGGUCCCGGAGGUCAUACCAAUGCAGCCGGUUGUCCCAGUUCAGCCGAGGUUAGGGCAGCAACUUCUGAGGGGGAGUGACUCAGGUUCUAGAGGUACAAGAAGUACCAUCCUCCUACUUUCAGCAGUUUGUAGAGCUUGUGACUCGAUAUCACCAGGUUUUGGGGGAAAAUUGUAGAUGUUGAGCAGCAAAGUUUAUUCUAUAGAGAUGUUGAAUAUUUGAGAGUUUAACUGUUAUUUCAGUUAUAUUCCGCAUGUUGUUAGGCUUA